AAUUAAAAAAACUUUUGUAAGGUAACAAAGGGAGAUGUCAAAAAUGACCGUUAGCGACGCUCUGCAAUACUGUGAACGGACAAACGACCAUGGGUGCUCAACGGAGGAAAAGGAUCACUUGAUCCAGAGCACCAAGAAGAUCAAAAGCACUACUGAUCAUAAGGAUGCAGUCGUGGGUGAAACUGUGUCGCUGGAAACCAACAACGGAGAUCUCAACUCUAAUCCUCAAAGCCCUAAAAUCAUGGCAGAGGAUAAUGAAUCUCAAAUAGGGGCACCUGUCAUUGCUGAUAACCAGGCGAUUGCUAAGGUUUUUGAAGUCCCGAAAUCUUUCAAACAAGCCCUCAUUCGUUCAAGAUUCAACGAAUCUGUGAAUGAAAAGAACUUCGAUUGUGAUGUGGAGUCUUUCUCCUCUAAUAAGGAUGAACCAAGCAUCACGGACAUAACUGAAACAGAGGUUGAGGCGAUGGUGGAGGAGCGAGAUAGCAUCUCCAAAGUCACAAUCCCAUCCAACCUGUGGAGGAAAGUCAGAGAACCAUGGAGGAAAUGUUUGAUUGUAAGUCUUUUGGGGAAAACUAUAGGCUAUAAGUUGUUUAUGGCCAAAGUCAAGAAGAUCUGGGGUCUUCAGGGCAAUUUUGAAGCCCUAGUUAUUAAACAUGGUUUCUUUAUCGUUAAAUUUGAUAUGAUGGAAGAUUAUACUAAGGUAUUUACGAGCGGACCAUGGGUAGCCCUAGACCAUUAUGUAACUGUUGGAAGAUGGCAACAAGACUUUAAAUCGGAUGAAGCGGAGGAGGAUACUACAGCAAUGUGGGUGAGGUUUCCUUAUCUGCCCAUAGAAUACUAUAAUGAGAAAGUUCUAUUUCACAUUGCGAAGGUGUUGGGAACUCCACUAAAGAUUGACAUCAACACAGCCAUGGCCGCUAGAGGUCGAUAUGCUUGGGUCUGCGUUGAAAUGGACCCCCGAAAGCCAUUAAUCUCCCAAAUCGCGAUAGGUAAAUACAUAUAUCAUGUUGAAUAUGACUAUUUGCAUUUAUUUUGCUUUUCUUGUGGCAGGGUAGGUCACCGGAGGAACAGUUACAGUGAUGGGAUCAUGCCGGAGACAACAUCACAGGGACCAGCUACUACUGGGCAUGAAGAACAUCUACAGGCAUCACCAAACAUUGAUCCUAGCCCAUCCAAAUUUGGGCCGUGGAUGACAGUCCCCAAGUCUAUUAGAAACCACAAGUGCCCAAACCCAAGAAGAAAUAACACUCAACAAAGGAAUAGGUUUGAAGCAUUAUAGGAUGGGAGAGAAUAUCCCAAAAACAACAAAGCCUAAACAGGGAAUAACAUGGGCCGAAAAGUGAAAGCCCAAAUGGAAGGGGGAUUCAAAUACAGAUCACGACCAUAUGAGAGGAAGAAUGAGUCCAACCACUCUGCUAUGACUAAAGCUAAAAAGUUAGAAGAGAUUAGACUGGGGAAGAAAAAGGAUACUAACAUGGAGAUUACAAAUCAAGAGGCAGCACUGGGGAUAGGUGAGACUUCAAUCCCUCAAAACUUUUCAAAGCAAACACCAGUCCUCCCUCUGCAAGUAGAAGAGGGUAACCAAGCUCCCAAUCAGAUCACAAGCCCAUUACCUCCAUCCCAUAUCAACCAAGCUGUAGUGCACACCACUGAACCCAGAGUAAGAAAACCCCCAGAUAAACAUAGAAGAGGAAGGAGAGAACUACCCCAUGGAGAUGCACAAGAUGAUCCAAGACAGAGUACUAGUGUGCUUAACACCAGGUAAAGAAGUAUUUCACCUCAUCACCUCCAAAUAGUGAAACGAAGGAACAAAGUUGAGAAUCCACCCACGAAGACAAGUGGAUGCAAGCUAGGAGUGUCACUACCUAUCAAUGACUCCACUCAAGUCGGUGGACACAAACAUCCAAGCCAUCAGGGGCUAUCUGAAGCUACAUGAUCAAAACCCGCUACCCUCCCAUUAUAUACCAUCUAUGGAUCUGCUUAUUUGGAAUUGUAGGGGGCCAGGUAACAAGAAAUUCAAACGAACUUUGAGAGAGUUAGUCUAAAUCUAUAAACCUGAAAUUAUUAUGCUUAUGGAAACCAAAGUAGAGUUUACAACUAUGGGAUGUUCUUCAACUGUAUGGGGUUUACUGCUUCAACUCAUGUUGACCCAGUUGGCCGAAAUUGAAGCAUUUGGAUGAUCUGGAAUCCCAUUGUGGUAAAUGUGCGAGUUGUUGAGGCUAGUUUACAACAAAUCACAGCUACCAUUUCUAGACAAGACUAUCAAGACUGGUUACUUUCAGCUGUCUAUGCAAGCCCUAAUGCCAGGAAGAGAGAUGAGCUUUGGGGAUCACCUUGAGGCCAUUGCUCAAUCUAUGAAGUAACCUUGGCUAGUAGCUGGUGAUUUUAAUGAUUUCACCUCUACUAGUGAAAAAAAAGAAGCCUAUACCCAUCCAACAGUCAAAGUAUAAGCCAAGAUCAGAGAAGAAAUGGGAAAUUCAAUGACAAACUUAACAAUUGCAAUCUCAUGGACUUAGGUUGUACUAGUCCACGGCUGACUUGGAGUAAUAAUCGAAAAGGAUGGGCCAACACAAUGGUUAGACUGGCUAGAGCAAUGUGUAAUACUGAAUAGAGAACUACCUUUCCAGAUGGAUCUGUUCGGAACCUUCCUCAUACGUACUCAAACCAUUCUCCCAUGAUGGUAUUCACUCAAGGACAACUGAAGCUCAACAUUGAUGGCAGUAGGAAAUCAGGAGGAAAUGGAGGCUUUGGAGGCCUGAUCAGAAAUGAAAGAGGAGCAUGGGUUUGUGGAUAUUAUGGAAGACUAUAGCCAGGAACUAGAUUGGAGGCAGAAUUAUGGGCAGUCUACAAGGGGUUAACAGUUGUGCUACAGCAAGGUUUAAAUGAUGUGAUUAUAGAGAUGGAUGCAGCUCAAGUGGUGCACCUGCUAGAGGAAGAGAUAGGAGAUAAAUGCCCUUUCAAGCAUCUAGUGGAGGAUACAAAAAUCUUACUCAAAGGAUGCAAUUGCACUGUCCAACAUGUUUGGAAAGAAGGUAAUCUGUGUGCUUAUGCUCUUGCCAAAAGCAGCUCAACCAGAGGACAUGCUGAUGGUGAAAGAACGCCCAGCUGAGAUUAGAAGCUUGCUUGUUGAUGAUAUGUUAGGACGUUCUUUGGAAAGGGCUUAGUCCCUUGUUUUAUUUCCGUUGUAACCAAAAAUGAAUAAAUUAAAACCACUCCAAAUUGCCCAAAUUACGAUUUGAUUAUUUGUCAA